UACCGGUCUGGAUGGAUGUGGUUUCUUUCAUUCUUAGUUGCCAGACUUCCAUUCAGCUCGAUUUCUGAACAGUUCUGGGUGAUGGUUGUUCCAUAUUUUAGCUGUAAUUUUGAUGAGGUUGCGUGAAGAAGCAAGUCAUGUUUACUUAUGCAGCCAUAAUUUUUUUAAACAUAU